UCUCAGAUGUUAUUUUAUAAACAGCUUAAUCACAGCUUACUUAUUGAAACUCCAAAUCUGUGACAGAGCGUCCAGGAGUUCGAAAAUUGACGAAUUUCACAGAACUGUUGUUUAAUUGAUGGUUUAAUUGCAGCCCAAUUAAUUGAUAUUGCAAAAAAAAAGAAAAUGGCACUGAUGCUGACUACGACUGCUUUACUUCUGAUGACGACCGCUACAGUUGCGAGAGGAAGCGAAACAUUUCGUCCUGAUUUCGAAGUGGACGAACAUUGCGUGCUGUUCGAGCCCCGAUUCGACACGAGAUGCUUCCGGCACGGAUUCUACGAGUUCAACCAGUACACUGGAUUGUGCCAGGAACACAGACCAUUUUGCAGGUCCCAUCGGAACAUGUAUCGCACAAUGCAAGAGUGCAGACAGACGUGUGAGAAGCUCCUGUGAUAUUCACUACUUGCUCCGUUUUCAUAUAAACUUGUGAAAGAGUGUAAUUUUAUCUUCUUAUGUAGCAUUUGAUAGAGUGAUUAAACUUGAAGUUUAUCUGCCAAAAGCAAUUAGCUUUUGGAGAUUUUGCUUAUUUCAAUA